GCUCCUGUGGCGCAAUGGUAGCGCGUCAGACUUCUACUUUCUAAGUUGGAAGCUGAACAUAAUUCAAUCUGAAGGCUGUGGGUUCGAGUCCCACCAGGUGCA
rfam:Sphaerobolus stellatus SS14 unplaced genomic scaffold SPHSTscaffold_12, whole genome shotgun sequence.